rnacentral:tmRNA from 1 species
GGGGAUGCAUUGCAUCGACAGGAAAGCACUUUAAAAAACUGCAAGCCGACAAUGACUAAAUGUCGUAAAAACUAGUCAAAAUAUAAAUGCUAGAAGCAAUUUUAGCGGUCGAUUGGCUUAUGCCUAUGCGUCUCAAAACGCAUACUUAAACUAAGAAGACCUGUCUGUUUAAUCUUUACUCAAACGGGAUUUUAUAGGCAAAAACACAGUUUGAGAAAUUAAUAAGGAAGUUGAUUAGCUCCUUAUCGAAUUUAUAAUCUUGACUUUAUUUUUUCUUUUCGAUUGGACAAGAGUAAAGCGACUUUAAUAAUCGAAUAAGCUUGUAGAAAGUUUUUUAAUAAAUUUCUUGGACUCGAGAUUCAAAGCUCGACAUCUCCACAC